ensembl:lncRNA
CUAUAUUACUACAUGAUGUAUCACCUGGAGAGGUGGUACUACUAUAUUACUACAUGAUGUACUAGGGUCAUGGAGAGGUGAUACUACUAUAUUACUACAUGAUGUACUAGGGUCAUGGAGAGGUGAUACUACUAUAUUACUACAUGAUGUAUCACCUGGAGAGGUGGUACUACUAUAUUACUACAUGAUGUACUAGGGUCAUGGAGAGGUGAUACUACUAUAUUACUACAUGAUGUACUAGGGAAAUGGAGAGGUGAUACUACUAAUCUGUGUGCUGUUCCCUACUACAUAAAGCACUACUUUUGACCAGAGCCCCCUAUGUGUUGUAAAGGGAAUAGGGGUGCUGGUUGGGACUUGUGCACUGUUUUCAGUGUCCAGAAUGCAUUGCAAGUCACUACUAAAAGCACUUCCCAUUGAUUAUGUAAUUACAGAGCAGCUCUGAGGGACUACAUCAAUGUUGUUUUAUGAAAUAGUGAAGGUAUAGAAAUGAAUGGCCAAACCAAAUAAAAAACUAAAUACCUUAUCAUGUUUCCAGAUGUAAAAAAAAAAAAAAAAAACACAAAAGUGGAGAGACACAAACCAAUAAAUAAAUUUAAAAAAUGUAAACAUCUGAAAAUAGGAGAAGAGGACAUAAUUGUAUAAACGUCUUGUCUCUCAAUAUAUAACCUAGCGUAGUAAACGUAAAAGAAACACCUGAAAAUAGAUCCCCUACAUACUGGUGUUGACGAUAAGGAGAAGAAAAAGAACAGCUGUCGCGGGAGUUUCUCUUCUGCAUUGUUCAACCAAUCCGGUAAAUGUGGAGGAGGAGUCACUCACCAAGUAAGGAGUUUUUGUAUAGAGGUCAAUGAAAGUGUCAAAUUUGGUAAACCCCCCCAAAAAAUAUGGCUUAUUUGCUAUGUGUCACUUAUUUGAUCUAAUUGAAUAUUCAUAAUGAUUAGGAUGUUACGGGUUGUACUUAUAUAAGUAGGACAUGUUACAUCCCGGAAACUUUAAGAAAAAAAAAACAUUAUAUAUCGGAGUUGUACCUGGUUGUCACUUGUUACCACAGCCACAAACUCAUAAACCCCGCCUAUUUCUAAAAUUGCUCUUCUUAAAAUGUUUUUUUUUUUUUAACUAACCCUAAUCUUAACCACACUGCUAACCUUACGCCUAACCCUAAGCAUUAAAAACAAAAAGUAAAAUGUUUUGUUUGCAUUCAUUUUUACAAUACAUAGCCAAUUUUGACUUUGUGACUGUAGUAACUAAUGGAAGCCGUUGU